UCAAAAUUUCAUUUUUGAGUUUUUGAGUAUUUUGUAAAAAAGGGGGAGGUUUUUUUUUACAUGUCGCGCCGUAUCUCAAAAACGAUUUAUGAUUAUUGCUUAAAACUUUACACACAUCUUUGUUAUAUUAAUCUUAAGAUCUGUAUACUUUUUGGUGAUGAUUCAAAAUUUCAUUUUUGAGUUAUUGAGUAUUUUGUAAAAAAGGGGGAGGGGUUUUUUACAUGUCGUGCCGUAUAUCAAAAAUGAUUUAUGAUUAUUGCUUAAAAUUUUACACACUUCUUUGUUAUAUUAAUCUAAAGAUCUGUAUACUUUUUGGUGAUGACUCAAAAUUUUAUUUUUGAGUUAUUGAGUAUUUUGUAAAAAAGGGGAGGGUUUUUUUUACAUGUCGCGCCGUAUCUCAAAAACAAUUUAUGAUUAUUGCUUGAAACUGUACACACUUCUU
rnacentral:lncRNA from 1 species